rnacentral:rRNA from 1 species
GGAGUUGCGAAGCUAACGCGUUAAGUAUCCCACCUGUGUAGUACGAUCGCAAGAUAAAACAUAAAGGAAUUGACGGGGACCCGCACAAGCGGUGGAGCGUGAUCUUUAAUUCGAGGUAAACGAUAAACCUUACCAAGGCUUGACAUCUCGGGAAGGCUUCCGAAAGGAAUCUGUCCCUCGGGAACCCGAAGACAGGUGAUGCAUGGCCGUCGUCAGCUCGUGUCGUGAGAUGUUGGUUAAGUCCAUCAACGAGCGCAACCCUUGCAACCAGUUGUAUUUUUCUGGUAGGACUGCCCGGUAACGGGGAGGAAGGAGGGGAUGAUGUCAGGUCAGUAUUUCCCUUACGCCUUGGGCAGAAUCGCGCUACAAUGGCCGGUACAAUGCGAAGCGAAGCAGUGAUGUGAAGCAAACCGCCCAAAGCCGGUCCCAGUUCGGAUAGAAGGCUGAAACUCGCCUUCUUGAAGUCGGAAUCGCAGUAAUCGCAGAUCAGCAUGUUGCGGUGAAUACGUUCCCGGGUCUUGUACUCACCGCCCG